GAUGAACGCUGGCGGCGUGCCUAAUACAUGCAAGUCGAGCGAAUGGAUUAAGAGCUUGCUCUUAUGAAGUUAGCGGCGGACGGGUGAGUAACACGUGGGUAACCUGCCCAUAAGACUGGGAUAACUCCGGGAAACCGGGGCUAAUACCGGAUAACAUUUUGAACCGCAUGGUUCGAAAUUGAAAGGCGGCUUCGGCUGUCACUUAUGGAUGGACCCGCGUCGCAUUAGCUAGUUGGUGAGGUAACGGCUAACCAAGGCAACGAUGCGUAGCCGACCUGAGAGGGUGAUCGGUCACACUGGGACUGAGACACGGCCGAGACUGCUACGGGAGGCAGCAGUAGGGAAUCUUCCGCAAUGGACGAAAGUCUGACGGAGCAACGCCGCGUGAGUGAUGAAGGCUUUCGGGUCGUAAAACUCUGUUGUUAGGGAAGAACAAGUGCUAGUUGAAUAAGCUGGCACCUUGACGGUACCUAACCAGAAAGCCACGGCUAACUACGUGCCAGCCGCCGCCGUAA
rnacentral:rRNA from 1 species